rnacentral:tRNA from 1 species
AAUAAAGUGCCUGAAAAAAGGAUUACUCUGAUAGGGUAAAUUAUGUAGAAUUCUACCUUUAUUA